AUGACAGUUGAAGCGCCAGGACUAUUCCACGGACGGUAACGGAAUAGUUGACGAGGAGAGGGUUUAUCGAAGGUUCGGCGGAUGCCCUCCGGUUGCACAUGACAGCCGCAAGCUUUUGUAAAAAACAGAGGGGCGACCUUCUGGACAAAGGCAAAAGCGUUCAUGCUA
rnacentral:ncRNA from 3 species